ACACACACACGUACGCCGGCCGUGCAGAUACAAUCAGCUUAAUGCUUCGAAGGCCAAGGGCUAGCUAAGCUUCAAGUUCAUGAAAUUCAGGCAAUUAACUGCAUUCAACUAAUUUUUUAACUGAAACUAUAGGAGAACAGACAAAUUAUGGAACUGUCAGGAGAUAGUUAACGGUACAAAUUUUUAUUGAUAUAUGGCCAAAAUCAAAGAAGGGUGUUGGUAACCAACAAGUUAGAGGAGACCUCAAAACAGGAGCUGCUUAGGGUGGUGUGCACAACAUUUGGAGUGAAAGAAGAAGAUAUUUUUCCUGCAGACAUGGCAAGACAAAUUCUACGAUUUUGCAGACAUGGAAGAGGACGAACUUGUGACAGGGCCAUUGAGAGUAAAAAUUACAAACUACCUGUGGUCCUCGGUGCACAGCAACUGGUGAAUGGUGGAGAGCACAUAGAGUGGAUGAGCACUGAAAAAAAGGCAGCCAGACUUCAAGAGAGUUGAGUUCUGCAUGCAGAAGACACUGGCAGACAGAAGGGCAUGGAUCAUAAAUUCUGUCCCUCGGCCAAGGAUCACUGAUGACCGACUGAAGUAUCCUUGGCUCUUUGAUGAGGAUCAGGUAAUCUAUGCAGAGUUUUCUCACCAGAUUUUGAAAUAUACUGAAUAUCCCGAGAUUGAUUGAAUGCUGACGGACGUUGAUAGAGUUGCUUACUCAAUGUUUCCCUAUUACAGUGAUUUACAGAAUGUAUUGGAAACUUCUAACUCCACAUGGAUUAUCCAAACUUGCUCAUAAACUUAAUUUAUUCAAGACUGCGUAAGGUGUGAACUUCAUAUGUGGUCCUUGUAUGUAAAAUUCAGGUUAUUUUCUUGUCAAAGCAAUAUCACCUAAACAGCUUGAGGUAUGGAUGUAAAAACUUGGUGUUUAACAUGUACCAUCAUUAGGAAGACGAUUUGAAUGGAUUUUGGAAUAUGUAGGUCAAAGGUCAAUUUGUGAAAUUUAUUUGUUUAAACACAUGGGCCCGUAUUCUGAUAGCAGGUUUAAUUUAACCCUAGUCUAAAGUUAACCCUAGUUUAAUUAAACCUCCUCUAAACCUCACCUCUGGUCCAAGUGUAGUUUAAUUAUUUUGGUAUUCUGAUAGCCGGGUUUAACUAAACCUGGGUUAAACCCGGGUUUAAAAUUCUUUUUGAAAAUAAUAACCCUCUUUUAACCAAGACUAGCACCUUUUUGUUAAAUUACUGCUGCAGGGGUGAUUGCAACAAAGUUGAAAAAAUGGCACUAAAGUCGUUUUUUCUUAAAAAAAUUGAUAUUAUGGAAACUAAUAACAACUAUUGUAGUGAAAGAAAAGCAUUCAUCACCCAUAUAUGACUAGAGUCUAGACCCUAGUCCUAGAUCUAAAACAAUAAGCUAAGAGGUCGACGUCUUUAUUCUAACUUUAAGUAAGGGAAUUUUUUAUAACUUUUGAGAGUAGUCUUGGGUCUAAAUAGGCCUAUAGUUAGAUCUGGCCUAGGCCCAAUUGUUUGGAGGAGAAUUGAACAUAGUUUUUACUAACUAAGUUAGGCCUAGGCCUAUUUGAUUUUUUUUUUACUUUCCUGAAGCAAAACAUAGUCUAGUGAGUUAGUGGAGCAACCAAGACUGAAGAUAAAUAUUGGUCUAGGCCUAGAACAGCAUUCAUGACUUAGGCUGGCUUAGCUUAGGGACAGGGAUAGAUUAUAGUACUAUUCUAAAGUAACCUUAGGCAUAGGCUAGAUCUAGUGGAAUGGAUCUGAUUUGUCUUAGACAAAAAGCUUUGAACAGUCUCUGUAUUGGUUGUUCCGCUGAAUUAUGACACUCUACGUUGGCCUCUCUCACCAAGGCAAUGUUAUAUGACAGUAAAAUGUCAGAAUUUUUAAAAUAAAUCCCCAGAAACAACGGUUAUUCCUGUCUACAGACAGUACAGUGUUAGAUCUGAUUAUCGCUGCAUUGCUUGCCAAGUAACUGGGCCUGGCUAAAUUUAGAAUUAGUCCAAGACAUCUCUCUACUCCUGUUUUAGGUCCAUAUCUGUUUCUUUGAAGAGUUUUUUAUUCAAACAUUUUUGGGGACUCGUUUAGGUUUCCAGAUCCAGGACUAGAAAACAGGCCCAAACCUAGACCAACAGCUCAGUCUUGACUAACCCAGGGAGCUCCCUGGGUUAAGUCUUGACUAGACUAGGCCUGGCCUAGAUUUAUGUAAGAAUUUAGAUCUAGGCCUAGGCCUAACGUUAGUCUGUGCUAUAUAUUCAUUCUAGAUUUCUAGCCUAGCCCUAACUGGCUGAUCUAGUCUACUGUAUGAUCUAGAAUCUCUAACGCUGGCCUAGAUCUAGACUAAAUAACUUAGACUAAAAGUUAAACCCUAUCUAGACCUAGAACUAGAUCUAUAUCAAUGUAAUACAUGUAAUAGGUCUAGAUCUAGAGAUUUGUAGACUCUCAACAUGCUCAAUGUAGAUUCUAAAUAAAUAAAAAAGUAAAUGUUGGCUAGUCUCGAGGCUAGUCUACAGUAGAUCUAAUCAUCUAACGUUAGGCCUUAAAAUAAAGUAGGCUGGAGAUCUAACGUUGGAUUAUUUCUAUUACUAGAUCUAAAGGAUCUAGACCUAGAUCUAAAGCUAGGGACUGUAGUGGGACUGUAGUUCGAGAUCUAAAGUUAGAGGUCUAGCAACCCCCUUAAAACUAGUACUAAGCCUACAGCUACAUGUUGUUCUCUGUGUAGCCAAACAACAGUUAGCAUUGUCUUAAUCUUAUUUUGGUUUGUGUAGUUACCGUACAAACACAUAUUUUGAUGAAUGAGAAAAUGUGCCUUGCAGAUUAUUUUACCUCAAGUCAAAACCUCGUGUUCUAAAUUUCAUGAGCAUACAUGUAGGCCUAUGUCAUAAAAUGAAGAAGCAGUUCAAUCCAUUAGAUGUGUUUACACAUUUAUUGAUUUAAUAUGCUGUCACCAUGGCAACACAGUUUCCAACACACACAAAUAUAUGUCUUGCAGAUCUAUACCUCAAAACCAAUGUGUGAGCCAACUUUUAUAAGAAUUAGUUGAAAACUAAUGAAGGAGUUCAGAUUUUCACCUAAUUUCAUUAUGUAAUAUGUUGUUACCAUGGCAACAUGAUUUCUCAUACAUACAAAAAUAUGUCUUGCACAUCUUCAACUUAAGACUAAUGUGUGUGCCAAAUUUUAUGAGCAUUGGCUGAAAAAAGAUGGGAGUUCGAACUACCAAAUUCUCACCUUAUUUUCUUUAUUUGAUAUGUUGUUACCAUGGCAACACGAUUUCUGAUACAGACAAAAAUAUAUCUUGGACAUCUUCACCUCAACAUUAAUGUAUGUGCCAAAUUUCAUGAGAAUUGGUUAAAAACUGAGGAAGUAGUUGGAACAGCAAGAUUUAUACAUAGUUUUUGCCAUAAUAUACCGUUACCAUGGCAACACAAUUUCCGACACAUGGAAAUAUGUGUCUUGCACAUCUUUACCUCAAAACCAAUGUGUGAGCCAACUUUCUUGAGAAUUGGUAGAAAACUGAUAAAAAUAUUUUAAACGGCAAAAUUUUUGCCAUAAUAUACUGUUUCCAUGGCAACACAAUUUCC